GUUUCCUGGUGUUAGGCCUGCAUUGCAUAUAUUUAAGGUUGUGAUAGUGUUUUCCCUUGAAGUGUGUCUGGCAGAUGUGAUUUUGGUAUGAAAUGGGACCAAGCUGGAGAAUGACUUUGUUCUGAAGACAAUUUCCAUUGUGCAUAAAAUAGCCUGAGUCAGGAGCAUCAGAUCAGAGAUCACCUUUUUGCACCCAGCUGCUGAAACUGUUGUUGUACUCUGGAGACAUUUAUUUAACUGAAGUAACAGGGCAGUGAUCACUGCAGAGAACUGGGACUUCCUUUCUCCAUUCAAAGAACUAAAGUUGCUAUUGUUGUAAAAAUAUUGAAGUAAUUCUUUUCCACCAAAGGAACACUAGGUGAAGACUGACCUUUACAUGAAACAACAGGAAUAUGUGAAAGAUGACACAAGAGCAGAGGAAAUAAGAGAGGUGCUGAAGUGAUAUCUUUGGCUCUCCGUUAACGGAUUUCAAAAUAUAUCACAGAACAGUUUGUGAGAAGUAGGGUUAGACAUUGCAUGGGAUUAGCAGAAUUUUUCUUUGCAGUACAUGUAGAAAUUUUCCAUUCUCAAUCAGAACAAAGAUGAAACUUGCAAUCACAAAAAUCUGCUUUGAAUUUCUCUUCUCAUUCUCCAUCCUUAAGAAUUAAUCCUCAUACAGGAAUUACUGAAGCACUGAAGUAGAACUGUUGUCUGGUAUCCAAUACAAGGAAUGAAGAUAGUAGUUCUGGUGACAAUUCUACUGGGAAAGAAUUAACCCUGGAUUUGCUAAACUUUCUGGUUGGAGACAAGAAGACAGUUGGCCCUCAAAUGGGUCUGGAGAAACUCAGGUUGAGGUCAGGGCACUGCCUAUUUCAAGGUGCCUCACAUCACUAAGAUAUUUUGGAUGGUCUCUUUCCAGCUAUUCACAGA